rnacentral:lncRNA from 1 species
UGUUUUGAAUGUUCAUUACCAGAUAAAACACUUAUCCAAAGGUAUAUAACGAGACUCCCAGUCAACAUGUGUAAUUUUACUAGAAUCGUUCAAAUGGAUUUUUCGUACAAUCAGAUAAAAAGAAUUGACAACAUUUCUUGCAUCAAAAGCUUAGACACUCUGAAAAUGCGUAAAAACAAAAUAGAAUAUUUGAGGAGCGAUACUUUUAGCGGAAUGAAAUAUUUACGCAAUAUUGACCUUUCAUACAACCGUUUGAGGUACAUAGAACCAGGAUUAUUAUUAAACAUGGCUGCAAGUCUUCUUAAUUUUGAUGUGUCUAAUAAUCUAUUGACCACAGUAGAUAUCACCAAUAUUUUGUGGGAAAAUCAACCAGCGUUUUGCGAAACCGAUUUUUCCUUCAAUAAGAUAACAAGUAUAAGCAAUCAACUAGAUUGGACAUGCAAAAGGAAUACACAAUUUGGAUAUGGAGGAUACGUUAAUUUAUCUAACAAUAAUUUGUCACAUUUUGUAAAAUUUUAUAAAAUAGGAUUUAGAAAUAUCUUUUUUUUUUAGGAAAACUGCUAUCCUAUGGAUUUGAUUUACGAGAAAACAAUUGGAUAUGUGACUGCCAGAUGUAUUUAUUAGCAUCAAAAUCGUCUAUUCUUUUAGAUAAGAUGCAUAGAUCCUAUUUCGAAGUAACUUGCCAUUCUCCUCCAGAAUUGAAAAAUGUGCUUCUAAUUGACAUAAUUAAACACCAAUCUCUUGAUCGUUUAAUUUGUAAUUUAACAAUUGCUGACAGAUGUCCUCCAAAGUGUCGCUGUUUUUACCAGCCUAGUAGAUCCAGAACUGUAGUGGAUUGUUCCAGAACGG